rnacentral:rRNA from 1 species
CAAGAGCGUAUAUUAAAGUUGCUGCGGUUAAAAAGCUCGUAGUUGGAUUUCAGUCUAGGAAGGUUAACUCGCCGAAAGGUUGUACGUUGAUUUUCCUCAGACUUCGUCAGAAGCUCGUGCUGCACUUAACUGUGUGGUACGAUGUUCUGACCUUUUACCUUGAGGAAAGUAGAGUGUUUCAGGCAGGCUACCCAGCUUGAAUACAUUAGCAUGGAAUAAUGAAAUGGAUCUCGGUUCGAUUUCGUUGGUUCUAGAGCUGAGGUGAUGAUCAAUAGGAACAGGCGAAGGUAUUCGUACUUGAGAGUGAGGAGUGAAAUCCGAUGAUCUCUUAAAGACGAUCCGAGGCGAAAGCAUUUGUCAAGGAUGUUUUCAUUGA